rnacentral:rRNA from 1 species
CCUACGGGUGGCUGCAGUGGGGAAUAUUGGACAAUGGGCGAAAGCCUGAUCCAGCCAUGCCGCGUGUGUGAAGAAGGCCUUCGGGUUGUAAAGCACUUUUAGUGGGGAAGAAAGCCUUGGGGCUAAUACCCUCGAGGAAGGACAUCACCCACAGAAGAAGCACCGGCUAACUCCGUGCCAGCAGCCGCGGUAAUACGGAGGGUGCGAGCGUUAAUCGGAAUUACUGGGCGUAAAGCGCGCGUAGGCGGUCUGAUAAGCCGGUUGUGAAAGCCCCGGGCUCAACCUGGGAACGGCAUCCGGAACUGUCAGGCUAGAGUGCAGGAGAGGAAGGUAGAAUUCCCGGUGUAGCGGUGAAAUGCGUAGAGAUCGGGAGGAAUACCAGUGGCGAAGGCGGCCUUCUGGACUGACACUGACGCUGAGGUGCGAAAGCGUGGGUAGCAAACAGGAUUAGAUACCCUAGUAGUC